UAUUUUUUUUGAUAACUCGAUCGGGUGAUCUAGUUCAAUAGACACCACAAUUUCCGAGCCAGGUUGCAGUGAUUUUUCUCCCUAGAUGGUUCUCGGGUCAACGGGGCAUGAGAUCUGAGUAAUCCCGGGGCCAAGAGGAGGCAUAUGAAAAAACCCUCACACCACACGGAAAGUCACCCAUCCUUAGAUUUUCCCAGCUUAAGCAAGCUUAACCGUGGAGUUCUCUCAGGACGUUUGACCGAAUAUAUAAGUAUACUUUGGUGAUAUAGUCGGUGAAAUCACUUCUUUUAAACCUCUACGCAUACACAACCAUAUUCUAGAAACCGGGGUAUUACAUUUACCUUCACUUUCUUCUUCUUCUUCAUGUUUUGAAGUUGACAAAUAUU
rnacentral:sRNA from 1 species